rnacentral:rRNA from 1 species
UUACUAAUGAGAGUGGCGAACGGGUGAGUAACGCGUGAGCAACCUGCCUAUGACAGUGGGAUAGCCUCGGGAAACCGGGAUUAAUACCGCAUAAAAUCGUAGAAACACAUGUUUCAACGGUCAAAGAUUUAUCGGUCAUAGAUGGGCUCGCGUCUGAUUAGCUAGUUGGUGAGAUAACAGCCCACCAAGGCGACGAUCAGUAGCCGGUCUGAGAGGAUGAACGGCCACAUUGGAACUGAGACACGGUCCAAACUCCUACGGGAGGCAGCAGUGGGGAAUAUUGCACAAUGGGGGAAACCCUGAUGCAGCGACGCCGCGUGAACGAAGAAGGUAUUCGUAUCGUAAAGUUCUGUCCUAUGGGAAGAUAAUGACAGUACCAUAGAAGAAAGCUCCGGCUAAAUACGUGCCAGCAGCCGCGGUAAUACGUAGGGGGCUAGCGUUGUCCGGAAUCACUGGGCGUAAAGGGUUCGCAGGCGGAAAUGCAAGUCAGGUGUAAAAGGCAGUAGCUUAACUACUGUAAGCAUUUGAAACUGCAUAUCUUGAGAAGAGUAGAGGUAAGUGGAAUUUUUAGUGUAGCGGUGAAAUGCGUAGAUAUUAAAAAGAAUACCGGUGGCGAAGGCGACUUACUGGGCUCAUUCUGACGCUGAGGAACGAAAGCGUGGGUAGCAAACAGGAUUAGAUACCCUGGUAGUCCACGCUGUAAACGAUGAGUGCUAGGUAUCGGAAUAUUCGGUCCCAGUUACACAUUAAGCACUCCGCC